GGUGCUAACGUCCGUCGUGAAGAGGGAAACAACCCAGACCGCCAGCUAAGGUCCCAAAGUCAUGGUUAAGUGGGAAACGAUGUGGGAAGGCCCAGACAGCCAGGAUGUUGGCUUAGAAGCAGCCAUCAUUUAAAGAAAGCGUAAUAGCUCACUGGUCGAGUCGGCCUGCGCGGAAGAUGUAACGGGGCUAAACCAUGCACCGAAGCUGCGGCAGCGACACUGUGUGUUGUUGGGUAGGGGAGCGUUCUGUAAGCCUGUGAAGGUGUGUCGUGAGGCAUGCUGGAGGUAUCAGAAGUGCGAAUGCUGACAUAAGUAACGAUAAAGCGGGUGAAAAGCCCGCUCGCCGGAAGACCAAGGGUUCCUGUCCAACGUUAAUCGGGGCAGGGUGAGUCGACCCCUAAGGCGAGGCCGAAAGGCGUAGUCGAUGGGAAACGGGUUAAUAUUCCCGUACUUGGUGUUACUGCGAAGGGGGGACGGAGAAGGCUAUGUUGGCCGGGCGACGGUUGUCCCGGUUUAAGCGUGUAGGUGUGUGUUCCAGGUAAAUCCGGUUCACUUUAACACUGAGGCGUGACGACGAGGCACUACGGUGCUGAAGCAACAAAUGCCCUGCUUCCAGGAAAAGCCUCUAAGCAUCAGGUAACAUCAAAUCGUACCCCAAACCGACACAGGUGGUCAGGUAGAGAAUACCAAGGCGCUUGAGAGAACUCGGGUGAAGGAACUAGGCAAAAUGGUGCCGUAACUUCGGGAGAAGGCACGCUGACACGUAGGUGAAGUGAUUUACUCAUGGAGCUGAAGUCAGUCGAAGAUACCAGCUGGCUGCAACUGUUUAUUAAAAACACAGCACUGUGCAAACACGAAAGUGGACGUAUACGGUGUGACGCCUGCCCGGUGCCGGAAGGUUAAUUGAUGGGGUCAGCGCAAGCGAAGCUCCUGAUCGAAGCCCCGGUAAACGGCGGCCGUAACUAUAACGGUCCUAAGGUAGCGAAAUUCCUUGUCGGGUAAGUUCCGACCUGCACGAAUGGCGUAAUGAUGGCCAGGCUGUCUCCACCCGAGACUCAGUGAAAUUGAACUCGCUGUGAAGAUGCAGUGUACCCGCGGCAAGACGGAAAGACCCCGUGAACCUUUACUAUAGCUUGACACUGAACAUUGAGCCUUGAUGUGUAGGAUAGGUGGGAGGCUUUGAAGCGUGGACGCCAGUCUGCGUGGAGCCGACCUUGAAAUACCACCCUUUAAUGUUUGAUGUUCUAACGUGGACCCGU
rnacentral:rRNA from 1 species